rfam:Nomascus leucogenys chromosome 4, whole genome shotgun sequence.
GUACUCGCUUCAGUAGCACAUACACUAAAAUUAGAACUAUAUAGAGAUUAGGAUUGCCCCUGUACAAGAUGAUAUGCAAAUUGGUCAAGUGUUUCAUCUUUUU